AUUGAACGCUGGCGGCAGGCCUAACACAUGCAAGUUGAGCGGAUGAAGAGAGCUUGCUCUCUGAUUCAGCGGCGGACGGGUGAGUAAUGCCUAGGAAUCUGCCUGGUAGUGGGGGACAACGUUUCGAAAGGAACGCUAAUACCGCAUACGUCCUACGGGAGAAAGCAGGGGACCUUCGGGCCUUGCGCUAUCAGAUGAGCCUAGGUCGGAUUAGCUAGUUGGUGAGGUAAUGGCUCACCAAGGCGACGAUCCGUGACUGGUCUGAGAGGAUGUUCAGUCACACUGGAACUGAGACACGCUCCAGACUCAUACGGGAGGCAUCAGUGGGGAAUAUUUGACAAGUGUCGAAAGCCUGAUCCAGCCAUGCCGCGUGUGUGAAGAAGGUCUUCGGAUUGUAAAGCACUUUAAGUUGGGAGGAAGGGCAGUAAGUUAAUACCUUGCUGUUUUGACGUUACCGACAGAAUAAGCACCGGCUAACUCUGUGCCAGCAGCCGCCGUAAAAC
rnacentral:rRNA from 1 species